UUAUCUUAUUCAUUUUUAGCUUUCAUUUAUUUUAUUUAUUUAAAAUUUGAUGAUUAUUUGGGAGGCAUUUAAAGGCCAAAUUAUAAUAGAUAGGUGUCCAAGAAAUGUAUUCAGUGAAGCCAUGUAAUUAGUUAGAUAGAUUUUAUUUUCAUCGAAAUUGUAAUUAGUUAGAUAAAUGUAACAGAUAGAUUUAUUA